UGGGAGCGAAACGGUCGCUGGGCUGCGCUUGUGUCUGUCGCUGCCUCGCUGUCCCUAUCGGGCUUCCCAGCAGCGGCCUAGCGGAAAAGUGAAAGAUGUCUGAAUAUAUUCGGGUAACCGAAGAUGAGAACGAUGAGCCCAUUGAAAUACCAUUGGAAGAUGAUGGGACUGUGCUGCUGUCCACGGUUACAGCCCAGUUUCCAGGGGCUUGUGGGCUUCGCUACAGGAAUCCAGUGUCUCAAUGUAUGAGAGGUGUCCGGCUGGUGGAAGGAAUUCUGCAUGCCCCCGAUGCUGGCUGGGGAAAUCUGGUGUAUGUUGUCAACUAUCCCAAAGAUAACAAAAGAAAAAUGGAUGAGACAGAUGCUUCAUCAGCAGUGAAAGUGAAAAGAGCAGUCCAGAAAACAUCUGAUUUAAUAGUGUUGGGUCUCCCAUGGAAAACAACUGAACAAGGACUGAAAGACUAUUUUAGUACCUUUGGAGAAGUUCUUAUGGUGCAGGUCAAGAAAGAUCUUAAGACUGGUCAUUCAAAGGGGUUUGGAUUUGUUCGUUUUACGGAAUAUGAAACACAGGUGAAAGUAAUGUCACAGCGGCAUAUGAUAGAUGGACGGUGGUGUGACUGUAAACUUCCUAAUUCUAAGCAAAGUGCAGAUGAGCCUUUGAGAAGCAGAAAAAUGUUUGUGGGGCACUGUACAGAGGACAUGACUGAGGAUGAGCUGCGGCAGUUCUCCCAGUACGGGGAGGUGAUGGAUGUCUUCAUCCCCAAGCCGUUCAGGGCCUUUGCCUUUGUUACAUUUGCAGAUGAUCAGAUUGCGCAAUCUCUUUGUGGAGAGGACUUGAUCAAUAAAGGAAUCAGCGUUCAUAUAUCCAAUGCCAACCCUAAGCACAAUAGCAAUAGACAGAAAGAAGUGGAAGAUUUGGUGGUAAUCCAGGUGGCUUUGGGAAUCAGGGUGGAUUUGGUAAUAGUAGAGGGAGUGGAGCUGGUUUGGAAAACAAUCAAGGUAGUAAUAUGGGUGGGAUGAACUUUGGCGCGUUCAGCAUUAAUCCAGCCAUGAUGGCUGCAGCCCAGGCAGCGCUACAGAGCAGUUGGGGUAUGAUGGGCAUGUUAGCCAGCCAGCAGAACCAGUCAGGCCCAUCGGGUAAUAACCAAAGCCAAGGCAACAUGCAGAGGGAGCCAAACCAGGCCUUCGGUUCUGGAAAUAACUCUUAUAGUGGUUCUAAUUCUGGUGCAGCAAUUGGUUGGGGAUCGGCAUCAAAUGCAGGGUCGGGCAGUGGUUUUAAUGGAGGCUUUGGCUCGAGCAUGGAUUCUAAGUCUUCUGGCUGGGGAAUGUAGACAGUUUGUGGUUGGUUGGUAUAGAAUGGUGGGAAUUCAGAUUUUUCUAAACUCAAGGUAAGUAUAUUGUAAAAUACAUACGUACUAAGAAUUUUCAAAAUUGGUUUGUUCAGUGUGGAGUAUAUUCAGCAGUAUUUUUGACAUUUUUCUUUAGAAAAAGGAAGAGCUAAAGGAAUUUUCUAAGUUUUGUUACAUGAAAGGUUGAAAUAUUGAGUGGUUGAAAGUGAACUGCUGUUUGCCUGAUUGGUAAACCAACACACUACAAUUGAUAUCAAAACGUUUCUCCUGUAAUAUGUUAUCCCUGGACUUGUCAAGUGAAUUCUUUGCAUGUUCAAAAUGGAAACCAUUGAUUAGAACUACAUUCGUUACUCCUUGUUUUAAUUUGAACCCCACCAUAUGGAUUUUCUUCCUUAAGAAAGUCUCCUUUUGGGAGCUCAUGGUGUCACAGCGUUUGGUUCUUUUGCUUUGUUUUUUAACACUUGUCUCCCCUCGUGUGCAAAAGUACAAUGUGAAGCCUUCAUUUAAUCUCUGCAGUUCAUCUCAUUUCAAAUGUUUAUGGAAGAAGCACUUCAUUGAAAGCAGUGCUGUAAAUAUUCUGCCAUAGGAAUACUUCUGUCUACACGCUUUCUCGUUCAAGAAUUCGUCAUCACGCAUCACAGGCCGCGUCUCUGACGGUGGGUGUCCCAUUUUUAUCCGCUACUCUUUAUUUCAUGGAGCCGUAUCAGCGCUAUGAACGCAAGGCUGUGAUAUGGAACCAGAAGGCUGUUUGAACUUUUGAAACCUUGUGUGGUAUUGGUGGUGAUGCCGAGGCAU